rnacentral:rRNA from 1 species
CCUACGGGAGACAGCAGUGGGGAAUAUUGCGCAAUGGGCGAAAGCCUGACGCAGCGACGCCGCGUGAGGGAUGAAGGUCUUCGGAUCGUAAACCUCUGUCAGCAGGGAAGAACGGUCACUGUGCUAAUCAGCAGUGCAUUGACGGUACCUGCAAAGGAAGCACCGGCUAACUCCGUGCCAGCAGCCGCGGUAAUACGGCGGGUGCGAGCGUUAAUCGGAAUUACUGGGCGUAAAGCGCUCGUAGGCGGUAUGUCAAGUCAAGGGUGAAAUCCCCGCGCUCAACGUGGGAACUGCCUUUGAAACUGGCAAACGUGAGUGUGUGAGAGGAUAGUGGAAUUCCAGGUGUAGGAGUGAAAUCCGUAGAUAUCUGGAGGAACAUCAGUGGCGAAGGCGACUAUCUGGAACAUAACUGACGCUGAGGAGCGAAAGCGUGGGUAGCAAACAGGAUUAGAUACCCCAGUAGUC